rnacentral:ribozyme from 12 species
UAUAUUUUUUUGUUUUUGUCUUUUUUGUCUUAUUUUUUCUUCUUUUUUUCUUAUUCGGGGCGA